UGACCUCAAAUCAGGUAGGACUACCCGCUGAACUUAAGCAUAUCAAUAAGCGGAGGAAAAGAAACUAACAAGGAUUCCCCUAGUAACUGCGAGUGAAGCGGGAAAAGCUCAAAUUUAAAAUCUGGCGGUCUUCUGGCUGUCCGAGUUGUAAUCUAGAGAAGUGUUAUCCGCGCUGGACCGUGUACAAGUCUCCUGGAAUGGAGCAUCAUAGAGGGUGAGAAUCCCGUCUUUGACAUGGACUGCCAGGGCUUUUGUGAUGCGCUCUCAAAGAGUCGAGUUGUUUGGGAAUGCAGCUCAAAAUGGGUGGUAAAUUCCAUCUAAAGCUAAAUAUUGGCGAGAGACCGAUAGCGAACAAGUACCGUGAGGGAAAGAUGAAAAGAACUUUGGAAAGAGAGUUAAACAGUACGUGAAAUUGCUGAAAGGGAAACGCUUGAAGUCAGUUGUGUUGUCCAGAGAUCAGCCUUGCUUUUGCUUGGUGCACUUUCUGGUUCGACGAGUCAGCAUCAAUUUUGACUAUUGGAAAAAGGCUAAGGGAAUGUGGCAUCUUUGGAUGUGUUAUAGCCCUUGGUCACAUACAAUGGUUGGGAUUGAGGAACUCAGCACGCCGCAAGGCCGGGUUUAA
rnacentral:rRNA from 1 species